AACGAACGCUGGCGGCAGGCUUAACACAUGCAAGUCGAACGAGAUCUUCGGAUCUAGUGGCAGACGGGUGAGGAACACGUGGGAACAACCCUUUCAGUUCGGAAUAACGUUGGGAAACUAACGCUAAUACCGGAUACGUCCUUCGGGAGAAAGAUUUAUCGCUGAAAGAUUGGCCCGCGUCUGAUUAGCUAGUUGGUGAGGUAACGGCUCACCAAGGCUACGAUCAGUAGCUGAUCUGAGAGGAUGAUCAGCCACAUUGGACUGAGACACGGCCCAAACUCCUACGGGAGGCAGCAGUGGGGAAUAUUGGACAAUGGGCGCAAGCCUGAUCCAGCCAUGCCGCGUGAGUGAUGACGGCCUUCGGGUUGUAAAGCUCUUUUGUCCGGGAAGAUAAUGACUGUACCGGAAGAAUAAGCCCCGGCAAACUUCGUGCCAGCAGCCGCCGUAA
rnacentral:rRNA from 1 species